rnacentral:rRNA from 1 species
UACGUAGGGUGCGAGCGUUGUCCGGAAUUAUUGGGCGUAAAGAGCUCGUAGGCGGUUUGUCGCGUCGACUGUGAAAACCCGGGGCUCAACCCCGGGCCUGCAGUCGAUACGGGCAGACUAGAGUGCGGUAGGGGAGACUGGAAUUCCUGGUGUAGCGGUGAAAUGCGCAGAUAUCAGGAGGAACACCGGUGGCGAAGGCGGGUCUCUGGGCCGUAACUGACGCUGAGGAGCGAAAGCGUGGGGAGCGAACAGG